ACCCGCCUCGCAGGCACCUUAAACCAAUGGGGGAAAUCCUGUCACCGAGCCACUGAAACGGGGAAAAGCCUGCCGUUUCUUUCCCGUUUUCCUUCAUCAUCCUCAAUGCUGAAGAGAUGCUGGUUGCCUGGAAAGGGACUGCUUUUCUUUCAAUGUGCUGUUGAAAGAUUGAUUCAGAUGGACACCUCAAAGUAGCCGGGAUUGCAUUCUGUAAACCGGUUUUCAUAAAUAUACAGUAGAGUCUCACUUAUCCAACACUCGCUUAUCCAACGUUCUGGAUUAUCCAACGCAUUUUUGUAGUCAAUGUUUUCAAUAUAUCGUGAUAUUUUGGUGCUGAAUUCAUAAAUGCAGUAAUUACUACAUAGCAUUACUGCAUAUUGAACUACUUUUUCUGCCAAAUUUGUUGUCUAACAUGAUGGUUUGGUGCUUCAUUUGUAAAAUCAUAACCUAAUUUGAUGUUUAAUAGGCUUUUCCUUAAUGCCUCCUUAUUAUCCAACAUAUUCGCUUAUCCACCAUUCUGCCGGCCCGUUUAUGUUGGAUACGUGAGACUCUACUGUAUGUCUAUUUAGUGUGUUGUCGAAGGCUUCCUUGGCCGAAAUCACUGGGUUGUUGUGCAUAUUCCGGGCUGUAUGGCCAUGUUCCAGAAGAAGCAUUCUCUCCUGACGUUUCGCGCAUAUCUAUGGCAAGCAUCCUCAGGGGUUUGGAAGUACAGUAGAAUCUCACUUAUCCAAGCUAAACGGACCGGCAGAAGCUUGGAUAAGUGAAUAUCUUGGAUAAUAAGGGCGGAUUAAAGAAAAGCCUAUUAAACAUCAAAUUAGGUUAUGAUUUUACAAAUUAAGCACCAAAACAUCAUGUUUUACAACAAAUUUGACAGAAAAUGUAGUUCAAUAGGCAGUGUUGUUAUGUUGCAAUUACUGUAUUUACGAAUUUAGCACCAAAAUAUCACGAUAUAUUGAAAACAUUGACUACAAAAAUGGCUUGGAUAAUCCAGAAGCUUGGAUAAGCGAGGCUUGGAUAAGUGAGAAUGUUGGAAAACCAAGCAAGGGAGGUUUAUGUAUCUGUGGAAGGUCAAGGUGGGAGAAAGGACUCUUGUCUGUUGGAGGCAGGUGUGAAUGUUGUAAUUAAUCGUGUAGAUUAGCAUUCAUGGUCUUGCAAGCUUCAUUCCUGCCUGGGGGAAUCCUUUGUUCUGAGGUGUUUGCUGCCCCUGUUUGAAUCAUAUCUGUAUUUCCGCUGAUUUCUGAGUGUUGUCCUUUGUUUGUGUUCAGAUGAUAGAGUCUUUGAAUUCUGGUAGCCAGAUUUUCUCCAUUUUCAUGGUUUUCUCCUUUCUGUUGAAAUUUUCCAUGUUUGUGGAUUUUAAUGGUUUUUCUGUGUAGUCUGACAUGAUAGUUGUUAGAGUGGUCCAGCAUUUCUGUGUUCUCAAAUAAUAUACUGUGUCCAGGUCCAAGAAGAUCCAACCAGUCCAUCCUCCAGGAAAUGAUGCCCAUCUGCUCACAGGACGGAAAGAUACUAGAGGCAAAGAUGAAGUAUUUUGGCCACAUCAUGAGAAGACAGGAGAGUUUGGAAAAGAUCAUGAUGCUGGGGAAAAUGGAAGGAAAAAGGAAGAGAGGCCGACCAAGGGCAAGAUGGAUGGACAGUAUCCUUGAAUUGACUGGUAUGAACUUGAAGCACCUGGGGGCUGCGAUGGAUGACUGGGAGCUCUGGCAUGGACUGGUCCAUGAGGCCACAAAGACUGUGUGAAUGAAGAAGUAGUAGUCCAGUCUCUUACCGCCUUUCUGGAUGGCAUCUGCUCCGCAGCCAGGCCGGGAUGGGAGGAGGAAGGGCCUCAUUCCAGAUGGAUCACUGGGCACCCUGACCAGGGAAGGAGGUGGACGCACGAUGGAGACAGCAGUCCCAGGAAGAGGAUGGAUCUGAAAAGAGAAAGUUAAAGUCUCUUACCGCCUUUCUGGAUGGCAUCUGCUCCGCAGCCAGGCCGGGAUGGGAGGAGGAAGGGCCUCAUUCCAGAUGGAUCACUGGGCACCCUGACCAGGGAAGGAGGUGGACGCACGAUGGAGACAGCAGUCCCAGGAAGAGGAUGGAUCUGAAAAGAGAAAGUUAAAGGUCCAAGAAGAUCCAACCAGUCCAUCCUCCAGGAAAUGAUGCCCAUCUGCUCACAGGAGGGAAAGAUACUAGAGGCAAAGAUGAAGUAUUUUGGCCACAUCAUGAGAAGACAGGAGAGUUUGGAAAAGAUCAUGAUGCUGGGGAAAAUGGAAGGAAAAAGGAAGAGAGGCCGACCAAGGGCAAGAUGGAUGGACAGUAUCCUUGAAUUGACUGGUAUGAACUUGAAGCACCUGGGGGCUGCGAUGGAUGACUGGGAGCUCUGGCAUGGACUGGUCCAUGAGGCCACAAAGACUGUGUGAAUGAAGAAGUAGUAGUCCAGGUUAGUUCCUCAAGUGCUCUGCUAUGGCUGACUUCUCUGGUUGAGUUAGUCUGUUUAUUUGUAUUCAUAUAUACAUAUUGUCAAGAGUCAGACGCCAAUUAGCGAACAAAAAUAGAGUUUAUUCAGCAGAUAAGCCAAAAAGUAAUGUUAACACAGAAAAAACCUUGAAACACUUCACUAUCAGUGCUUCAAGAGCAGUUCAAACAAAAAUAUAAUUCAGCAACACAAGCAGGUAAAAACAAAGCUAAACAAACUUAGUGCAAACUGCACUUUCGGAGUCCAAGCCCUGCCAGCCGGCUCUGUAGUUUUCAAGGGAACAGUUCCCAAAAGAAAACACCAAAUUGGUCAGGAAACAAACAAACAAACUAAGAAUGCAGUAGACUGCUUCCACAAUGUUGAUAAAGCCGAAGGCUCCAAAAGGAUGGUGAAAAGACGUCGUCCGGGAUUCCAAGGUCAGGUCAGGAGAUAACAGCGGUGUCCAAAGAGCAAGCCAGGAGUCAAAAGCCGGUAGUAGUCAUCAAUCACAGGGCGAAGGCAGUAGCAAGGUCAAAUUCCGAUCCAAGGUCUGAAGAGGGUGCAGUCAUCCAAAACAGGUCCACGAUAAGACACAGCGAGAGCCAAGCUAGGUGAUAACAGCAGAUUCAAAUCAUAGUCCAAGUCCAAUCUUCAUGGAAACACAGAGAUCCCAAUGGCGCCUCAGCAACACCUUGCCACACGCAAAGUGCAGUGGCCAAACAUUCCCAUUUUAUUCCCCUUCCUCCUGGGUGACCAAACACUCACACCCAAACACCAGGUGUCCCAAAUCUACUCAGAGUCUGAGCUCCACACAGCUAGAGCUCGUGGAUCUGGAGUACCUAGCAAUUCGUCGGAGUCCCAAUCAUCCUGCUCACACUUAGCCCCAUGAACACUUAAAGAACCAUCCUCCCUUCUUCAAGCAUCCCAAUUGGGAUCAGCUCCUGCAGAAACCCCAGGUUCAGAAGUAUCCAUAGACCCCAAAUCCCCAGACAUCUCCGGUGGCUGUGCCCAUUCAGUGCCCGCUUCCCCAGCCACCACCUGUUCCUCAGCAUCCAUCUCCCCAUCUGAAUCUUCCUCAGAAGAUCCCCCAUAUAGCUCUCUAAGUCGCUUCCUGCACAACUCCUCCAGUGAACCCUCAUCACGAGGGUUUUUUCUUCCUCUUCGAAUUCCAUCCCCAUCAACCAUAAUCCCCGAAGGCGCAGUCACAACACAUAUUGUGCGCCACUUUGUGCUGGUCAUGGACCAGAAUUUGCUUGUUUAAUAUAUAUAUAUAUAUAUAUAUAUAUAUAUAUAUAUAUAUAUAUAGUAAAGGUUUCCCCAUGACAUUAAGUCUAGUCAAAUCCGACUCUGGGGGAUGGUGCUCAUCUCCAUUUCUAAGACAAAGAGCCAGCAUUGUCCAUAGUAGGAAUGGUUUUGCUAUGCUCAAACUUGGUGUUACACAGUGAUCAGCUCAGUUUUAUUUUUGCAGUUUGGGAUCAAACAUUAGAAAUAUAAUACAUAUAUAAUACACACACACACGAAUGUAUUAUACAAAUAUAUGGUUGCACUCUGGUUUUUCCUAUGGCUGCAGUCCUAGAAGGAAAUCGCAGAGCCACGCAGAACGUGGUUCUGUGCAAACACAAACAAAACCAUCUCCAUUGUAGUCUCACAUUUUGUCAGUAUAAUAAAUCCACAUGGUGCUUUGUUGUUCAGGGAAGAAACAAGCUGUGUUUGUUGUUCAGUUGACUUUUGCUCUUUCCCCUGAUUGUUGUGGGGAACAAACCAGAAGUGAUACUUUCUAUUUUGAUAAAUUUCAGCAUGGUGUUUCAACCAGGUUCAGUAAACUAUUACUGGAAAGCCCAAAUUUGAAGCAUGGUGGUAUCCAACUGUUCUGCCUCCAUGCUGAACUAAAUGAACUGGAAGGAACCAUAGCACAAAGGACAGAUUGGAGACUGUAUUUGGUGAAACAAAAUAUUUUAUUAAUAGACAAAAUUGAUCUCUUUUCCUCUUGUUGCCACUAUGAAGUCUCUUGUGAGGAAAUAAAUAUUUAAGUCUAUGCAGUUCUGGAUAGAUAUUGCCACAGAGUAUAAAGUCUUGUUAUGACUAGAUUCUUUGUAUCUUUGAGAUGACUUCAAUGCAAUGUUGACAUGGCUUUCUUUAUUGCCGUAGUCUAUAGCUUUUAAUCUAAUUUGAAUACAGUUCCAACGUGACGUGAAUUUCUGUGAUCCUUUUACUUCCUACACUUCCUUCCAGUGCCUCACCAACUGACAAAAUCUAACUGACAAAAAAUAACUGCCAUUUGAGGCUGGCAAGAGCCAAGGCUAAACUCCACCCCUUUAGAAUCUUAAAGAGGCAGGGCAGCAGGUAAUGUUUUGCCUCCUCGUGGCAUAAGACCAACUGUUCUGAUUUGGAAGGAACCAUCCUACUUACUCACAUAUGUCAGUUGUUUUUAAAGCAUCCCAGGUGUUUUUGCCUACUUUCCCUUUUCAUUUCUGUCCUCAGCUUGCUCCAGUUGGUGCAAACUCAGUUCAAAAUGCCAAAGAAGUUUGCUUUCUAUUAACUCAGCAGAGGGAACAUCUUUUCCCUCCUAGGAGGCUCGGGCAAAAGGAAACUGCUUCUGGGAUGCACCCACACUGUAGAAUUUAAUGCAGUUUGACAGCAGUUUAACUGCUACAAUGCAAUGCUAUGGAAUCAUGGGAAUUAUAGUUUUACAAAGUCUUUAACUUAAUCUUCCAGAGUGCUGGGACCUCUGCAAAUUACAACUCCCAGGUUCAAUAGCACUGGACCAUUAAUCCUUUAUUGUCUUACUAUGUAUCCUUCAAACUAAGUAACAUAAUUUCCGGAAGCUCAGUUUUGUUAAUUUUUCCGCCAAAAUUUAAAUGCUGUAACUACCUCAAUCUGACUGGAGAAAAUAGUAUGCUUGUUUUUAUAAACAGGUUAUAGCAUAGAGAUGAGCCAUCCUUUCAUAUUUAUAUGCAAUGAUGGCAUUCUGAUUCCAUGUUAACUGCUAUUGUAUUAUUACUCAUAACUUUUACAAUUAUUUAGUAUUGGUGUUUUAAUGUUGUUCUGUGUUUUUAAAGAUAUGUAUUUAAAUUGUAUUGUUUUAUUUGUAUAUUUUAAUGCUGUACCCUGCCUCGAGCUCUGAGGACAGGUGUGUAGAAUCCUGUUUUUUGAAAAAAGAUCAGGUGUAUUUUAGAAAUAAUGGAGAACAGCUUGCCUGAGCUCUAGAGAAAUACUACUAGCUAGACAAUUCAAUAACAGGUUAGGAGGAGAGAUACCUCGUAGGUUGAUCUGCUAUAAGGUUGCAGUGUCUGUUGUUUACACACUGCAUCAAUUUGUAGAAUAUAAAUGAGUUUUUCAAUAAUGUCUUAAAAAUGGGAGGCUUUGCUCCAAAAGACAGCUUAUAAAUAAAUGAAGGAGCCAAGAGAGUGUUUAACAGCCAGCUUUUCCACCUGAGGCCGCUUUAAAGACUGCAAGUUAUUGUUAUAGUUUCACAGUUUUGUUUGUAAAUCACUAUGGGGUUGCAGAAAGCAAGGUAUAACAAAUAGUUAAAUUAGAACUAGCUUUCAUUAGUAGUCUUAUAUGAGAGUUAGCAAUAUAGUGAGAAAGAGACAAGACCUGUUUGAUGCACAGCUAGAAAAACCGCUCUGAAAUAAUAAUAAUAAUAAUAAUAAUAAUAAUAAUAAUAAUAAUAAUAAAUAAAACUUUAUGUAUAUACCUCCCUAUCUCCUCAAGAUGACUCAGGGCGGUUUUCAACAUAGCAAAACAUUCAAUUGCCAAAAAGAAAGCAUACAAAAAAUUAAACAUGGUAAAAAUAAUAAACAUAAAACAAGAACAUACAAUUCAAAACAAUCACAAAGAUUAAAAUCCAGUUACAAUAUGCUGUAACAAAACAUGAUGGUAAAAAGAUGAUGCUACCAUGUUGUGGGGUUCAAUGAAUGUAUAAUAGCAUUCAUCUUUUAAAUAAUCUUAUCAUUUUGCAGCUGUUAAAGGAGGAAAAACACAUAUAAAGGAAACUCAAAAACCACCAAAACCAUGCAAAGCAGGUGACAUCUUUAAAACAGACCUAUGAUCAGGAAAAAAUGCGGUUUUCAUGAAGAGUUUGUUCAUUAUCUUAAAUAUGCCUUAAUAAUCUACAAACGGGAACCUGGAGUGGAACAAGUGAUUAAUUUUGUGGCCAAGUUCAUUGCUUCCCUUUAUGAGCCAUUAGAAGAUGAAGAGGAAGAAACAGAAAAUUUGCUUCUGAAUUAUUUGUUCUGCUUUCUGCUUGAGGUACUUUACGAAAAUCUGAUAAUGGAUAGACAUUUUAGUAAUACAGAAGGAGCAACCCUACACCUGAACCUGGAAUUUUCCAAAAUCUACAACUUUUUGCAAGUCAAUUGCCUGUUUCUGCCUUUGAGCCAAUAGCUGUGAAGCACUUGAUCAUUAUUUCACAAGGCAGACUAAAGGUGUUUCUGGAUGGUAUCAGCCAUGCAGCCAAACCGGGAUGGAAGGAGUGAGGGCCUCAUUCAAGCAGAGUCCUUUGGUUCACAGGGCACCCUGACUAGGGGAAAAGGAGGAGUAUGGACGCACAAUGGAAACAGCAGUCCAAGGCAGAAGUCAUGGAGACGUUGUGUGAGCGGCUGAAGAGGGAGAGUUAUUAUAUUUAUGUAUACACUGUUUUAUCUCUCCCAAAGGAGACUCCGAGUGGCUUAACAUAAAAGCAUUUGCAUGCAAUUUAAAAUACACAAAUAUGCAAAUAGAGGCACUCUCCAGCCAGAAAGCCUUUCAGGACCUAAUUGCCUUUUCCUCUCCUAAGUGGAGGUCCCCGUUCCUGCGCCCAAGACGAAUCUGCCUGUACCUGUGGGUAAAGUUAAAGGUUUUCCUCUGACAUCAAGUCUAGUCGUGUCCGACUCUGGUGCUCAUCUCCAUUUCUAAGCCUAAGAGCCAGGGUUGUCCGUAGACAGCUGCUAGGUCGUGUGGCCGGCAUGACUGCAUGGAGCGCUGUUACCUUCCUGCCAGAGGUCCAUUGAUCUACUCACAUUUGCAUGUUUCUGAACUGCUAGGUUGGCAUAAGCUUGGACAAACAGCGGGAGCUCACCCCGCUGCCUGGAUUUGAACCGUCGACUUUUUGGUCAGUAAUUCAUCCGAUCAGUGUUUUAACCUGCUGCACCAUCGGGCGCAUCCCUCCCUCUAUUUUCCAAUACGAACUCACCUUAUUCUUCUAGAUCAUCAAUAACUAGACUUUGUUCUUCACUAAAAGAAACAAAAAAAAUAUGUUAGUACGUAACACCCAAAGACCCCCCUAGCCCAAAAAAAGGCCCAACCCACACCCAAAAAGUGAGAAGAAGUUCCCUCGAUUCCUGGGACUGCUGUCCCCAAAGUGCGUCCUCAUCACUUCCACUGGCCAGAGUGCUCUGUCAAGGAAAGAGAAGAGCAAAGUGAAAUCCUGACCUCCCCUUCCCCUUUGCAGGAAGACAGGGCGCCUGCAUUUCUCUCCUUACCCAGGACUCAUCUGGUGGAAGGGGGCCCUUCCUCCACGCAUCCCAGCCGGGCUGUGGAGCAGAUGCCAUCCAUUGGUGCUGUGGAAGAAAGAGAAGAGAUUUAGUUGAAAUCCUGGUCCCCUCCUCUUCACAGAAGUACAAUCCUCCUGCCUUCCCUCCUUACCCAGGUCUCUAUUUCCGUGAUCUCAUCGGAGGAGGAGGCUUCUAGAUCUUCCGUUGGAGGACUAGAGAAGAAGGAGAGAAAACAGCCAAACAUUAGUAUCAGAACCCUGUGCAGCUAUUUAGAAGGGGAAAAAACCAUCCAGAAGAGAAGGAGGAAGGGCUUACCUUACGGGGUAUAUUUUGAUACACCUCCUCCCCGACAACAUUUCCAACAAUUUAUACAUAAUUUCCUGAUGUUCUGCAAAGGAGAAAGGAGAACAAGGUCAGAGGGAAGGAGGAAGGGCCUCAUUCGAGAUGGAUUCUUCAUCACUGGGCACCCUGACCAGGGGAGGAGGUGGACACACGAUGGAGACAGCAGUCCCAGGAAGAGGAUGGAUCUGAAAAGGGAGAGUUAAAGAUAAAGGUUUCCCCUGACAUUAAGUCUAGUCAUGUCCGAAUCUGUGGGUUAGUGCUCAUCUCCAUUUCGCUCCUUACCCAGGACUCAUCGGGUGGAAUGGGGGCCUUCCUCCUCGCAUCCCAGCCAGCAGAUGCCAUCCAUUGGUGCUGUGGAAGAAAGAGAAGAGACUUAGUUGAAAUCCUGGUCCCCUCCUCUUCACAGAAGUACAAUCCUCCUGCCUUCCCUCCUUACCCAGGUCUCCAUUUCCGUGAUCGCCUCGGAGGAGGAGGCCUCCAGAUCUUGCGUUGGAGGACUAGAGAAGAAGGAGAGAAAUCAGCCGAACAUUAGUAUCAGAACCCUGUGAAGCUAUUUAGAAGGGGAAAAAAACAACCAGAAAAGAAGGAGGAAGGGCUUACCUUAUGGGGUGUAUUUUGAUACACCUCCUCCCCGACAUUAUUUCCAAAAAUUUAUACCUAAUUUCCUGAUGUUCUGCAAAGGAGAAAGGAGAACAAGGUCAGAGGGAAGGAGGAAGGGCCUCAUUUGAGAUGGAUUCUUCAUCACUGGGCACCUUGACCAGGGGAGGAAGUGGACACACGAUGGAGACAGCAGUCCCAGGAAGAGGAUGGAUCUGAAAAGGGAGAGUUAAAGAUAAAGGUUUCCCCUGACAUUAAGUCUAGUCAUGUCCGAAUCUGUGGGUUAGAGCUCAUCUCCAUUUCUAAGCCUCAGAGCCGGCAUUGUCCGUAGAUACCUACUAGGCCAUGUGGCCGGCAUGACUCCAUGGAGCGCUGUUACCUUCCUGCCAGAGCGGUACAUAGUGAUCUACUCACAUUUGCAUGUUUUUGAAUUGUUAGGUUGGCAGAAGCUGGGGCUAACAGCGGGAGCUCACCCCACUGCCUGGAUUCAAACCACUGACCUUCUGGUCGGUACGUUCAGCAGCUCAGUGGUUUGAUCCGCUGUGCCACCAGGUGCACCCCUCCCUCUAUUUUCCCAACUCACCUUAGUCUUCUAGAUCUUCAAUAACUAGACUUUGUUCUUCACUAAAAGAUACAAAAAAAAUGUUAGUACAUAACACCCAAAGACCCCUCCAGCCCAAAAAAAGGCCCAACCCACACCCAAAAAGUGAGAAGAAGUUCCCUCGAUUCCUGGGACUGCUGUCCCCAAAGUGCGUCCUCAUCACUUCCACUGGCCAGAGUGCUCUGUCAAGGAAAGAGAAGAGCAAAGUGAAAUCCUGACCUCCCCUUCCCCUUUGCAGGAAGACAGGGCGCCUGCAUUUCUCUACUUACCCAGGACUCAUCGGGUGGAAUGGGGCCCUUCCUCCUCGCAUCCCGGCCAGCAGAUGCCAUCCAUUGGUGCUGUGGAAGAAAGAGAAGAGACUUAGUUGAAAUCCUGGUCCCCUCCUCUUCACAGAAGUACAAUCCUCCUGCCUUCCCUCCUUACCCAGGUCUCCAUUUCCGUGAUUGCCUCAGAGGAGGAGGCCUCCAGAUCUUGCGUUGGAGGACUAGAGAAGAAGGAGAGAAAUCAGCCGAACAUUAGUAUCAGAACCCUGUGAAGCUAUUUAGAAGGGGAAAAAACCAUCCAGAAGAGAAGGAGGAAGGGCUUACCUUACGGGGUAUAUUUUUAUACACCUCCUCCCCGACAACAUUUCCAACAAUUUAUACAUAAUUUCCUGAUGUUCUGCAAAGGAGAACGGAGAACAAGAUCAGUAGGAAGGAGGAAGGGCCUCAUUCGAGAUGGAUUCUUCAUCACUGGGCACCCUGACCAGGGGAGGAGGUGGACACACGAUGGAGACAGCAGUCCCAGGAAGAGGAUGGAUCUGAAAAGGGAGAGUUAAAGAUAAAGGUUUCCCCUGACAUUAAGACUAGUCAUGUCCGAAUCUGUGGGUUAGAGCUCAUCUCCAUUUCUAAGCCUCAGAGCCGGCAUUGUCCGUAGAUACCUACUAGGCCAUGUGGCCAGCAUGACUCCAUGGAGCGCUGUUACCUUCCUGCCAGAGCGGUACAUAGUGAUCUACUCACAUUUGCAUGUUUUUGAAUUGUUAGGUUGGCAGAAGCUGGGGCUAACAGCGGGAGCUCACCCCACUGCCUGGAUUCAAACCACUGACCUUCUGGUCGGUACGUUCAGCAGCUCAGUGGUUUGAUCCGCUGUGCCACCAGGUGCACCCCUCCCUCUAUUUUCCCAACUCACCUUAGUCUUCUAGAUCUUCAAUAACUAGACUUUGUUCUUCACUAAAAGAAACAAAAAAAAUAUGUUAGUACAUAACACCCAAAGACCCCCCUAGCCCAAAAAAAGGCCCAACCCACACCCAAAAAGUGAGAAGAAGUUCCCUCGAUUCCUGGGACUGCUGUCCCCAAAGUGCGUCCUCAUCACUUCCACUGGCCAGAGUGCUCUGUCAAGGAAAGAGAAGAGCAAAGUGAAAUCCUGACCUCCCCUUCCCCUUUGCAGGAAGACAGGGCGCCUGCAUUUCUCUCCUUACCCAGGACUCAUCGGGUGGAAUGGGGCCCUUCCUCCACGCAUCCCAGCUGGGCUGCGGAGCAGAUGCCAUCCAUUGGUGCUGUGGAAGAAAGAGAAGAGACUUAGUUGAAAUCCUGGUCCCCUCCUCUUCACAGAAGUACAAUCCUCCUGCCUUCCCUCCUUACCCAGGUCUCUAUUUCUGUGAUCUCAUCGGAGGAGGAGGCUUCUAGAUCUUCCGUUGGAGGACUAGAGAAGAAGGAGAGAAAACAGCCAAACAUUAGUAUCAGAACCCUGUGCAGCUAUUUAGAAGGGGAAAAAACCAUCCAGAAGAGAAGGAGGAAGGGCUUGCUUUACGGGGUAUAUUUUGAUACACCUCCUCCCCGACAACAUUUCCAACAAUUUAUACAUAAUUUCCUGAUGUUCUGCAAAGGAGAAAGAACAAGGUGAGAGGGAGGAAGAAGGAGUUGCCUUGAGAGAGGGGCUGUUUUAGGGCCAUUACUUUCCUGUGGUAGAUUCAACCCCAAAAGUCUCCAAAUCUGUAUUUCCAUGGGCCCUUCCUCCCCACUCAGUACUUCUUUAAGAGGGGAGAAGAGCAGCAUCCCUGACUUCCCCUCCUGGUGAUCUAAUACAUGACUUCCCUUUUACUACCUACUCCUCUCAUGACAGCAAGUGAAACAAUUUACACAUAAUUUUCUGAUGUUCUGCAAAGGAGAAAGGAGAACAAGGUCAGAGGGAAGGAGGAAGGGCCUCAUUUCAUAUGGAUUCUUCAUCACUGAGCACCCUGACCAGGGGAGGAGGCGGACGCACGAUGGAGACAGCAGUCCCAAGAAGAGGAUGGAUCUGAAAAGGGAUAGUUAAAGAUAAAGGUUUCCCCUGACAUUAAGUCUAGUCAUGUCCGAAUCUGUAGGUUAGUGCUCAUCUCCAUUUCGCUCCUUACCCAGGACUCCUCAGGUGGAAUGGGGCCCUUCCUCCUCGCAUCCCGGCCAGCAGAUGCCAUCCAUUGGUGCUGUGGAAGAAAGAGAAGAGACUUAGUUGAAAUCCUGGUCCCCUACUCUUCACAGAAGUACAAUCCUUCUGCCUUCCCUCCUUACCCAGGUCUCCAUUUCCGUGAUCGCCUCAGAGGAGGAGGCCUCCAGAUCUUGCGUUGGAGGACUAGAGAAGAAGGAGAGAAAUCAGCCGAACAUUAGUAUCAGAACCCUGUGAAGCUAUUUAGAAGGGGAAAAAAACAACCAGAAAAGAAGGAGGAUGGGCUUACCUUAUGGGGUAUAUUUUGAUACACCUCCUCCCCAACAUCAUUUCCAAAAAUUUAUACCUAAUUUCCUGAUGUUCUGCAAAGGAGAAAGGAGAACAAGGUCAGUGGGAAGGAGGAAGGGCCUCAUUCGAGAUGGAUUCUUCAUCACUGGGCACCCUGACCAGGGGAGGAGGUGGACACACGAUGGAGACAGCAGUCCCAGGAAGAGGAUGGAUCUGAAAAGGGAGAGUUAAAGAUAAAGGUUUCCCCUGACAUUAAGUCUAGUCAUGUCCGAAUCUGUGGAUUAGUGCUCAUCUCCAUUUCGCUCCUUACCCAGGACUCAUCAUGUGGAAUAGGGCCCUUCCUCCUCGCAUCCCGGCCAGCAGAUGCCAUCCAUUGGUGCUGUGGAAGAAAGAGAAGAGACUUAGUUGAAAUCCUGGUCCCCUCCUCUUCACAGAAGUACAAUCCUCCUGACUUCCCUCCUUACCCAGGUCUCCAUUUCCGUGAUCGCCUCAGAGGAGGAGGCCUCCAGAUCUUGCGUUGGAGGACUAGAGAAGAAGGAGAGAAAUCAGCCGAACAUUAGUAUCAGAACCCUGUGAAGCUAUUUAGAAGGGGAAAAAAACAACCAGAAAAGAAGGAGGAAGGGCUUACCUUAUGGGGUAUAUUUUGAUACACCUCCUCCCCAACAUCAUUUCCAAAAAUUUAUACCUAAUUUCCUGAUGUUCUGCAAAGGAGAAAGGAGAACAAGGUCAGUGGGAAGGAGGAAGGGCCUCAUUCGAGAUGGAUUCUUCAUCACCGGGCACCCUGACCAGGGGAGGAGGUGGACACACGAUGGAGACAGCAGUCCCAGGAAGAGGAUGGAUCUGAAAAGGGAGAGUUAAAGAUAAAGGUUUCCCCUGACAUUAAGACUAGUCAUGUCCGAAUCUGUGGGUUAGAGCUCAUCUCCAUUUCUAAGCCUCAGAGCUGGCAUUGUCCGUAGAUACCUACUAGGCCAUGUGGCUGGCAUGACUCCAUGUAGCGCUGUUACUUUCCUGCCAGAGCGGUACAUAUUGAUCUACUCACAUUUGCAUGUUUUUGAAUUGUUAGGUUGGCAGAAGCUGGGGCGAACAGCAGGAGCUCACCCCACUGCCUGGAUUCAAACCACUGACCUUCUGGUCGGUACGUUCAGCAGCUCAGUGGUUUGAUCCGCUGUGCCACCAGGUGCACCCCUCCCUCUAUUUUCCCAACUCACCUUAUUCUUCUAGAUCUUCAAUAACUAGACUUUGUUCUUCACUAAAAGAAACAAAAAAAAUAUGUUAGUACAUAACACCCAAAGACCCCCCCUAGCCCAAAAAAAGGCCCAACCCACACCCAAAAAGUGAGAAGAAGUUCCCUCGAUUCCUGGGACUGCUGUCCCCAAAGUGCGUCCUCAUCACUUCCACUGGCCAGAGUGCUCUGUCAAGGAAAGAGAAGAGCAAAGUGAAAUCCUGACCUCCCCUUCCCCUUUGCAGGAAGACAGGGCGCCUGCAUUUCUCUCCUUACCCAGGACUCAUCGGGUGGAAUGGGGCCCUUCCUCCACGCAUCCCAGCUGGGCUGCGGAGCAGAUGCCAUCCAUUGGUGCUGUGGAAGAAAGAGAAGAGAUUUAGUUGAAAUCCUGGUCCCCUCCUCUUCACAGAAGUACAAUCCUCCUGCCUUCCCUCCUUACCCAGGUCUCCAUUUCCGUGAUCACCUCAGAGGAGGAGACCUCCAGAUCUUGCGUUGGAGGACUAGAGAAGAAGGAGAGAAAUCAGCCGAACAUUAGUAUCAGAACCCUGUGAAGCUAUUUAGAAGGGGAAAAAACCAUCCAGAAGAGAAGGAGGAAGGGCUUACCUUACGGGGUAUAUUUUGAUACACCUCCUCCCCGACAACAUUUCCAACAAUUUAUACAUAAUUUCCUGAUGUUCUGCAAAGGAGAACGGAGAACAAGAUCAGUAGGAAGGAGGAAGGGCCUCAUUCGAGAUGGAUUCUUCAUCACUGGGCACCCUGACCAGGGGAGGAGGUGGACACACGAUGGAGACAGCAGUCCCAGGAAGAGGAUGGAUCUGAAAAGGGAGAGUUAAAGAUAAAGGUUUCCCCUGACAUUAAGACUAGUCAUGUCCGAAUCUGUGGGUUAGAGCUCAUCUCCAUUUCUAAGCCUCAGAGCCGGCAUUGUCCGUAGAUACCUACUAGGCCAUGUGGCCAGCAUGACUCCAUGGAGCGCUGUUACCUUCCUGCCAGAGCGGUACAUAGUGAUCUACUCACAUUUGCAUGUUUUUGAAUUGUUAGGUUGGCAGAAGCUGGGGCUAACAGCGGGAGCUCACCCCACUGCCUGGAUUCAAACCACUGACCUUCUGGUCGGUACGUUCAGCAGCUCAGUGGUUUGAUCCGCUGUGCCACCAGGUGCACCCCUCCCUCUAUUUUCCCAACUCACCUUAGUCUUCUAGAUCUUCAAUAACUAGACUUUGUUCUUCACUAAAAGAAACAAAAAAAAUAUGUUAGUACAUAACACCCAAAGACCCCCCUAGCCCAAAAAAAGGCCCAACCCACACCCAAAAAGUGAGAAGAAGUUCCCUCGAUUCCUGGGACUGCUGUCCCCAAAGUGCGUCCUCAUCACUUCCACUGGCCAGAGUGCUCUGUCAAGGAAAGAGAAGAGCAAAGUGAAAUCCUGACCUCCCCUUCCCCUUUGCAGGAAGACAGGGCGCCUGCAUUUCUCUCCUUACCCAGGACUCAUCGGGUGGAAUGGGGCCCUUCCUCCACGCAUCCCCGCUGGGCUGCGGAGCAGAUGCCAUCCAUUGGUGCUGUGGAAGAAAGAGAAGAGACUUAGUUGAAAUCCUGGUCCCCUCCUCUUCACAGAAGUACAAUCCUCCUGCCUUCCCUCCUUACCCAGGUCUCUAUUUCUGUGAUCUCAUCGGAGGAGGAGGCUUCUAGAUCUUCCGUUGGAGGACUAGAGAAGAAGGAGAGAAAACAGCCAAACAUUAGUAUCAGAACCCUGUGCAGCUAUUUAGAAGGGGAAAAAACCAUCCAGAAGAGAAGGAGGAAGGGCUUGCUUUACGGGGUAUAUUUUGAUACACCUCCUCCCCGACAACAUUUCCAACAAUUUAUACAUAAUUUCCUGAUGUUCUGCAAAGGAGAAAGAACAAGGUGAGAGGGAGGAAGAAGGAGUUGCCUUGAGAGAGGGGCUGUUUUAGGGCCAUUACUUUCCUGUGGUAGAUUCAACCCCAAAAGUCUCCAAAUCUGUAUUUCCAUGGGCCCUUCCUCCCCACUCAGUACUUCUUUAAGAGGGGAGAAGAGCAGCAUCCCUGACUUCCCCUCCUGGUGAUCUAAUACAUGACUUCCCUUUUACUACCUACUCCUCUCAUGACAGCAAGUGAAACAAUUUACACAUAAUUUUCUGAUGUUCUGCAAAGGAGAAAGGAGAACAAGGUCAGAGGGAAGGAGGAAGGGCCUCAUUUCAUAUGGAUUCUUCAUCACUGAGCACCCUGACCAGGGGAGGAGGCGGACGCACGAUGGAGACAGCAGUCCCAAGAAGAGGAUGGAUCUGAAAAGGGAUAGUUAAAGAUAAAGGUUUCCCCUGACAUUAAGUCUAGUCAUGUCCGAAUCUGUAGGUUAGUGCUCAUCUCCAUUUCGCUCCUUACCCAGGACUCCUCAGGUGGAAUGGGGCCCUUCCUCCUCGCAUCCCGGCCAGCAGAUGCCAUCCAUUGGUGCUGUGGAAGAAAGAGAAGAGACUUAGUUGAAAUCCUGGUCCCCUACUCUUCACAGAAGUACAAUCCUCCUGCCUUCCCUCCUUACCCAGGUCUCUAUUUCCGUGAUCUCAUCGGAGGAGGAGGCUUCUAGAUCUUCCGUUGGAGGACUAGAGAAGAAGGAGAGAAAACAGCCAAACAUUAGUAUCAGAACCCUGUGCAGCUAUUUAGAAGGGGAAAAAACCAUCCAGAAGAGAAGGAGGAAGGGCUUACCUUACGGGGUAUAUUUUGAUACACCUCCUCCCCGACAACAUUUCCAACAAUUUAUACAUAAUUUCCUGAUGUUCUGCAAAGGAGAAAGGAGAACAAGGUCAGAGGGAAGGAGGAAGGGCCUCAUUCGAGAUGGAUUCUUCAUCACUGGGCACCCUGACCAGGGGAGGAGGUGGACACACGAUGGAGACAGCAGUCCCAGGAAGAGGAUGGAUCUGAAAAGGGAGAGUUAAAGAUAAAGGUUUCCCCUGACAUUAAGUCUAGUCAUGUCCGAAUCUGUGGGUUAGUGCUCAUCUCCAUUUCGCUCCUUACCCAGGACUCAUCGGGUGGAAUGGGGGCCUUCCUCCUCGCAUCCCAGCCAGCAGAUGCCAUCCAUUGGUGCUGUGGAAGAAAGAGAAGAGACUUAGUUGAAAUCCUGGUCCCCUCCUCUUCACAGAAGUACAAUCCUCCUGCCUUCCCUCCUUACCCAGGUCUCCAUUUCCGUGAUCGCCUCGGAGGAGGAGGCCUCCAGAUCUUGCGUUGGAGGACUAGAGAAGAAGGAGAGAAAUCAGCCGAACAUUAGUAUCAGAACCCUGUGAAGCUAUUUAGAAGGGGAAAAAAACAACCAGAAAAGAAGGAGGAAGGGCUUACCUUAUGGGGUGUAUUUUGAUACACCUCCUCCCCGACAUUAUUUCCAAAAAUUUAUACCUAAUUUCCUGAUGUUCUGCAAAGGAGAAAGGAGAACAAGGUCAGAGGGAAGGAGGAAGGGCCUCAUUUGAGAUGGAUUCUUCAUCACUGGGCACCUUGACCAGGGGAGGAAGUGGACACACGAUGGAGACAGCAGUCCCAGGAAGAGGAUGGAUCUGAAAAGGGAGAGUUAAAGAUAAAGGUUUCCCCUGACAUUAAGUCUAGUCAUGUCCGAAUCUGUGGGUUAGAGCUCAUCUCCAUUUCUAAGCCUCAGAGCCGGCAUUGUCCGUAGAUACCUACUAGGCCAUGUGGCCGGCAUGACUCCAUGGAGCGCUGUUACCUUCCUGCCAGAGCGGUACAUAGUGAUCUACUCACAUUUGCAUGUUUUUGAAUUGUUAGGUUGGCAGAAGCUGGGGCUAACAGCGGGAGCUCACCCCACUGCCUGGAUUCAAACCACUGACCUUCUGGUCGGUACGUUCAGCAGCUCAGUGGUUUGAUCCGCUGUGCCACCAGGUGCACCCCUCCCUCUAUUUUCCCAACUCACCUUAGUCUUCUAGAUCUUCAAUAACUAGACUUUGUUCUUCACUAAAAGAUACAAAAAAAAUGUUAGUACAUAACACCCAAAGACCCCUCCAGCCCAAAAAAAGGCCCAACCCACACCCAAAAAGUGAGAAGAAGUUCCCUCGAUUCCUGGGACUGCUGUCCCCAAAGUGCGUCCUCAUCACUUCCACUGGCCAGAGUGCUCUGUCAAGGAAAGAGAAGAGCAAAGUGAAAUCCUGACCUCCCCUUCCCCUUUGCAGGAAGACAGGGCGCCUGCAUUUCUCUACUUACCCAGGACUCAUCGGGUGGAAUGGGGCCCUUCCUCCUCGCAUCCCGGCCAGCAGAUGCCAUCCAUUGGUGCUGUGGAAGAAAGAGAAGAGACUUAGUUGAAAUCCUGGUCCCCUCCUCUUCACAGAAGUACAAUCCUCCUGCCUUCCCUCCUUACCCAGGUCUCCAUUUCCGUGAUUGCCUCAGAGGAGGAGGCCUCCAGAUCUUGCGUUGGAGGACUAGAGAAGAAGGAGAGAAAUCAGCCGAACAUUAGUAUCAGAACCCUGUGAAGCUAUUUAGAAGGGGAAAAAACCAUCCAGAAGAGAAGGAGGAAGGGCUUACCUUACGGGGUAUAUUUUGAUACACCUCCUCCCCGACAACAUUUCCAACAAUUUAUACAUAAUUUCCUGAUGUUCUGCAAAGGAGAACGGAGAACAAGAUCAGUAGGAAGGAGGAAGGGCCUCAUUCGAGAUGGAUUCUUCAUCACUGGGCACCCUGACCAGGGGAGGAGGUGGACACACGAUGGAGACAGCAGUCCCAGGAAGAGGAUGGAUCUGAAAAGGGAGAGUUAAAGAUAAAGGUUUCCCCUGACAUUAAGACUAGUCAUGUCCGAAUCUGUGGGUUAGAGCUCAUCUCCAUUUCUAAGCCUCAGAGCCGGCAUUGUCCGUAGAUACCUACUAGGCCAUGUGGCCAGCAUGACUCCAUGGAGCGCUGUUACCUUCCUGCCAGAGCGGUACAUAGUGAUCUACUCACAUUUGCAUGUUUUUGAAUUGUUAGGUUGGCAGAAGCUGGGGCUAACAGCGGGAGCUCACCCCACUGCCUGGAUUCAAACCACUGACCUUCUGGUCGGUACGUUCAGCAGCUCAGUGGUUUGAUCCGCUGUGCCACCAGGUGCACCCCUCCCUCUAUUUUCCCAACUCACCUUAGUCUUCUAGAUCUUCAAUAACUAGACUUUGUUCUUCACUAAAAGAAACAAAAAAAAUAUGUUAGUACAUAACACCCAAAGACCCCCCUAGCCCAAAAAAAGGCCCAACCCACACCCAAAAAGUGAGAAGAAGUUCCCUCGAUUCCUGGGACUGCUGUCCCCAAAGUGCGUCCUCAUCACUUCCACUGGCCAGAGUGCUCUGUCAAGGAAAGAGAAGAGCAAAGUGAAAUCCUGACCUCCCCUUCCCCUUUGCAGGAAGACAGGGCGCCUGCAUUUCUCUCCUUACCCAGGACUCAUCGGGUGGAAUGGGGCCCUUCCUCCACGCAUCCCAGCUGGGCUGCGGAGCAGAUGCCAUCCAUUGGUGCUGUGGAAGAAAGAGAAGAGACUUAGUUGAAAUCCUGGUCCCCUCCUCUUCACAGAAGUACAAUCCUCCUGCCUUCCCUCCUUACCCAGGUCUCUAUUUCUGUGAUCUCAUCGGAGGAGGAGGCUUCUAGAUCUUCCGUUGGAGGACUAGAGAAGAAGGAGAGAAAACAGCCAAACAUUAGUAUCAGAACCCUGUGCAGCUAUUUAGAAGGGGAAAAAACCAUCCAGAAGAGAAGGAGGAAGGGCUUGCUUUACGGGGUAUAUUUUGAUACACCUCCUCCCCGACAACAUUUCCAACAAUUUAUACAUAAUUUCCUGAUGUUCUGCAAAGGAGAAAGAACAAGGUGAGAGGGAGGAAGAAGGAGUUGCCUUGAGAGAGGGGCUGUUUUAGGGCCAUUACUUUCCUGUGGUAGAUUCAACCCCAAAAGUCUCCAAAUCUGUAUUUCCAUGGGCCCUUCCUCCCCACUCAGUACUUCUUUAAGAGGGGAGAAGAGCAGCAUCCCUGACUUCCCCUCCUGGUGAUCUAAUACAUGACUUCCCUUUUACUACCUACUCCUCUCAUGACAGCAAGUGAAACAAUUUACACAUAAUUUUCUGAUGUUCUGCAAAGGAGAAAGGAGAACAAGGUCAGAGGGAAGGAGGAAGGGCCUCAUUUCAUAUGGAUUCUUCAUCACUGAGCACCCUGACCAGGGGAGGAGGCGGACGCACGAUGGAGACAGCAGUCCCAAGAAGAGGAUGGAUCUGAAAAGGGAUAGUUAAAGAUAAAGGUUUCCCCUGACAUUAAGUCUAGUCAUGUCCGAAUCUGUAGGUUAGUGCUCAUCUCCAUUUCGCUCCUUACCCAGGACUCCUCAGGUGGAAUGGGGCCCUUCCUCCUCGCAUCCCGGCCAGCAGAUGCCAUCCAUUGGUGCUGUGGAAGAAAGAGAAGAGACUUAGUUGAAAUCCUGGUCCCCUACUCUUCACAGAAGUACAAUCCUUCUGCCUUCCCUCCUUACCCAGGUCUCCAUUUCCGUGAUCGCCUCAGAGGAGGAGGCCUCCAGAUCUUGCGUUGGAGGACUAGAGAAGAAGGAGAGAAAUCAGCCGAACAUUAGUAUCAGAACCCUGUGAAGCUAUUUAGAAGGGGAAAAAAACAACCAGAAAAGAAGGAGGAUGGGCUUACCUUAUGGGGUAUAUUUUGAUACACCUCCUCCCCAACAUCAUUUCCAAAAAUUUAUACCUAAUUUCCUGAUGUUCUGCAAAGGAGAAAGGAGAACAAGGUCAGUGGGAAGGAGGAAGGGCCUCAUUCGAGAUGGAUUCUUCAUCACUGGGCACCCUGACCAGGGGAGGAGGUGGACACACGAUGGAGACAGCAGUCCCAGGAAGAGGAUGGAUCUGAAAAGGGAGAGUUAAAGAUAAAGGUUUCCCCUGACAUUAAGUCUAGUCAUGUCCGAAUCUGUGGAUUAGUGCUCAUCUCCAUUUCGCUCCUUACCCAGGACUCAUCAUGUGGAAUAGGGCCCUUCCUCCUCGCAUCCCGGCCAGCAGAUGCCAUCCAUUGGUGCUGUGGAAGAAAGAGAAGAGACUUAGUUGAAAUCCUGGUCCCCUCCUCUUCACAGAAGUACAAUCCUCCUGACUUCCCUCCUUACCCAGGUCUCCAUUUCCGUGAUCGCCUCAGAGGAGGAGGCCUCCAGAUCUUGCGUUGGAGGACUAGAGAAGAAGGAGAGAAAUCAGCCGAACAUUAGUAUCAGAACCCUGUGAAGCUAUUUAGAAGGGGAAAAAAACAACCAGAAAAGAAGGAGGAAGGGCUUACCUUAUGGGGUAUAUUUUGAUACACCUCCUCCCCAACAUCAUUUCCAAAAAUUUAUACCUAAUUUCCUGAUGUUCUGCAAAGGAGAAAGGAGAACAAGGUCAGUGGGAAGGAGGAAGGGCCUCAUUCGAGAUGGAUUCUUCAUCACCGGGCACCCUGACCAGGGGAGGAGGUGGACACACGAUGGAGACAGCAGUCCCAGGAAGAGGAUGGAUCUGAAAAGGGAGAGUUAAAGAUAAAGGUUUCCCCUGACAUUAAGACUAGUCAUGUCCGAAUCUGUGGGUUAGAGCUCAUCUCCAUUUCUAAGCCUCAGAGCUGGCAUUGUCCGUAGAUACCUACUAGGCCAUGUGGCUGGCAUGACUCCAUGUAGCGCUGUUACUUUCCUGCCAGAGCGGUACAUAUUGAUCUACUCACAUUUGCAUGUUUUUGAAUUGUUAGGUUGGCAGAAGCUGGGGCGAACAGCAGGAGCUCACCCCACUGCCUGGAUUCAAACCACUGACCUUCUGGUCGGUACGUUCAGCAGCUCAGUGGUUUGAUCCGCUGUGCCACCAGGUGCACCCCUCCCUCUAUUUUCCCAACUCACCUUAUUCUUCUAGAUCUUCAAUAACUAGACUUUGUUCUUCACUAAAAGAAACAAAAAAAAUAUGUUAGUACAUAACACCCAAAGACCCCCCCUAGCCCAAAAAAAGGCCCAACCCACACCCAAAAAGUGAGAAGAAGUUCCCUCGAUUCCUGGGACUGCUGUCCCCAAAGUGCGUCCUCAUCACUUCCACUGGCCAGAGUGCUCUGUCAAGGAAAGAGAAGAGCAAAGUGAAAUCCUGACCUCCCCUUCCCCUUUGCAGGAAGACAGGGCGCCUGCAUUUCUCUCCUUACCCAGGACUCAUCGGGUGGAAUGGGGCCCUUCCUCCACGCAUCCCAGCUGGGCUGCGGAGCAGAUGCCAUCCAUUGGUGCUGUGGAAGAAAGAGAAGAGAUUUAGUUGAAAUCCUGGUCCCCUCCUCUUCACAGAAGUACAAUCCUCCUGCCUUCCCUCCUUACCCAGGUCUCCAUUUCCGUGAUCACCUCAGAGGAGGAGACCUCCAGAUCUUGCGUUGGAGGACUAGAGAAGAAGGAGAGAAAUCAGCCGAACAUUAGUAUCAGAACCCUGUGAAGCUAUUUAGAAGGGGAAAAAACCAUCCAGAAGAGAAGGAGGAAGGGCUUACCUUACGGGGUAUAUUUUGAUACACCUCCUCCCCGACAACAUUUCCAACAAUUUAUACAUAAUUUCCUGAUGUUCUGCAAAGGAGAACGGAGAACAAGAUCAGUAGGAAGGAGGAAGGGCCUCAUUCGAGAUGGAUUCUUCAUCACUGGGCACCCUGACCAGGGGAGGAGGUGGACACACGAUGGAGACAGCAGUCCCAGGAAGAGGAUGGAUCUGAAAAGGGAGAGUUAAAGAUAAAGGUUUCCCCUGACAUUAAGACUAGUCAUGUCCGAAUCUGUGGGUUAGAGCUCAUCUCCAUUUCUAAGCCUCAGAGCCGGCAUUGUCCGUAGAUACCUACUAGGCCAUGUGGCCAGCAUGACUCCAUGGAGCGCUGUUACCUUCCUGCCAGAGCGGUACAUAGUGAUCUACUCACAUUUGCAUGUUUUUGAAUUGUUAGGUUGGCAGAAGCUGGGGCUAACAGCGGGAGCUCACCCCACUGCCUGGAUUCAAACCACUGACCUUCUGGUCGGUACGUUCAGCAGCUCAGUGGUUUGAUCCGCUGUGCCACCAGGUGCACCCCUCCCUCUAUUUUCCCAACUCACCUUAGUCUUCUAGAUCUUCAAUAACUAGACUUUGUUCUUCACUAAAAGAAACAAAAAAAAUAUGUUAGUACAUAACACCCAAAGACCCCCCUAGCCCAAAAAAAGGCCCAACCCACACCCAAAAAGUGAGAAGAAGUUCCCUCGAUUCCUGGGACUGCUGUCCCCAAAGUGCGUCCUCAUCACUUCCACUGGCCAGAGUGCUCUGUCAAGGAAAGAGAAGAGCAAAGUGAAAUCCUGACCUCCCCUUCCCCUUUGCAGGAAGACAGGGCGCCUGCAUUUCUCUCCUUACCCAGGACUCAUCGGGUGGAAUGGGGCCCUUCCUCCACGCAUCCCCGCUGGGCUGCGGAGCAGAUGCCAUCCAUUGGUGCUGUGGAAGAAAGAGAAGAGACUUAGUUGAAAUCCUGGUCCCCUCCUCUUCACAGAAGUACAAUCCUCCUGCCUUCCCUCCUUACCCAGGUCUCUAUUUCUGUGAUCUCAUCGGAGGAGGAGGCUUCUAGAUCUUCCGUUGGAGGACUAGAGAAGAAGGAGAGAAAACAGCCAAACAUUAGUAUCAGAACCCUGUGCAGCUAUUUAGAAGGGGAAAAAACCAUCCAGAAGAGAAGGAGGAAGGGCUUGCUUUACGGGGUAUAUUUUGAUACACCUCCUCCCCGACAACAUUUCCAACAAUUUAUACAUAAUUUCCUGAUGUUCUGCAAAGGAGAAAGAACAAGGUGAGAGGGAGGAAGAAGGAGUUGCCUUGAGAGAGGGGCUGUUUUAGGGCCAUUACUUUCCUGUGGUAGAUUCAACCCCAAAAGUCUCCAAAUCUGUAUUUCCAUGGGCCCUUCCUCCCCACUCAGUACUUCUUUAAGAGGGGAGAAGAGCAGCAUCCCUGACUUCCCCUCCUGGUGAUCUAAUACAUGACUUCCCUUUUACUACCUACUCCUCUCAUGACAGCAAGUGAAACAAUUUACACAUAAUUUUCUGAUGUUCUGCAAAGGAGAAAGGAGAACAAGGUCAGAGGGAAGGAGGAAGGGCCUCAUUUCAUAUGGAUUCUUCAUCACUGAGCACCCUGACCAGGGGAGGAGGCGGACGCACGAUGGAGACAGCAGUCCCAAGAAGAGGAUGGAUCUGAAAAGGGAUAGUUAAAGAUAAAGGUUUCCCCUGACAUUAAGUCUAGUCAUGUCCGAAUCUGUAGGUUAGUGCUCAUCUCCAUUUCGCUCCUUACCCAGGACUCCUCAGGUGGAAUGGGGCCCUUCCUCCUCGCAUCCCGGCCAGCAGAUGCCAUCCAUUGGUGCUGUGGAAGAAAGAGAAGAGACUUAGUUGAAAUCCUGGUCCCCUACUCUUCACAGAAGUACAAUCCUCCUGCCUUCCCUCCUUACCCAGGUCUCUAUUUCCGUGAUCUCAUCGGAGGAGGAGGCUUCUAGAUCUUCCGUUGGAGGACUAGAGAAGAAGGAGAGAAAACAGCCAAACAUUAGUAUCAGAACCCUGUGCAGCUAUUUAGAAGGGGAAAAAACCAUCCAGAAGAGAAGGAGGAAGGGCUUACCUUACGGGGUAUAUUUUGAUACACCUCCUCCCCGACAACAUUUCCAACAAUUUAUACAUAAUUUCCUGAUGUUCUGCAAAGGAGAAAGGAGAACAAGGUCAGAGGGAAGGAGGAAGGGCCUCAUUCGAGAUGGAUUCUUCAUCACUGGGCACCCUGACCAGGGGAGGAGGUGGACACACGAUGGAGACAGCAGUCCCAGGAAGAGGAUGGAUCUGAAAAGGGAGAGUUAAAGAUAAAGGUUUCCCCUGACAUUAAGUCUAGUCAUGUCCGAAUCUGUGGGUUAGUGCUCAUCUCCAUUUCGCUCCUUACCCAGGACUCAUCGGGUGGAAUGGGGGCCUUCCUCCUCGCAUCCCAGCCAGCAGAUGCCAUCCAUUGGUGCUGUGGAAGAAAGAGAAGAGACUUAGUUGAAAUCCUGGUCCCCUCCUCUUCACAGAAGUACAAUCCUCCUGCCUUCCCUCCUUACCCAGGUCUCCAUUUCCGUGAUCGCCUCGGAGGAGGAGGCCUCCAGAUCUUGCGUUGGAGGACUAGAGAAGAAGGAGAGAAAUCAGCCGAACAUUAGUAUCAGAACCCUGUGAAGCUAUUUAGAAGGGGAAAAAAACAACCAGAAAAGAAGGAGGAAGGGCUUACCUUAUGGGGUGUAUUUUGAUACACCUCCUCCCCGACAUUAUUUCCAAAAAUUUAUACCUAAUUUCCUGAUGUUCUGCAAAGGAGAAAGGAGAACAAGGUCAGAGGGAAGGAGGAAGGGCCUCAUUUGAGAUGGAUUCUUCAUCACUGGGCACCUUGACCAGGGGAGGAAGUGGACACACGAUGGAGACAGCAGUCCCAGGAAGAGGAUGGAUCUGAAAAGGGAGAGUUAAAGAUAAAGGUUUCCCCUGACAUUAAGUCUAGUCAUGUCCGAAUCUGUGGGUUAGAGCUCAUCUCCAUUUCUAAGCCUCAGAGCCGGCAUUGUCCGUAGAUACCUACUAGGCCAUGUGGCCGGCAUGACUCCAUGGAGCGCUGUUACCUUCCUGCCAGAGCGGUACAUAGUGAUCUACUCACAUUUGCAUGUUUUUGAAUUGUUAGGUUGGCAGAAGCUGGGGCUAACAGCGGGAGCUCACCCCACUGCCUGGAUUCAAACCACUGACCUUCUGGUCGGUACGUUCAGCAGCUCAGUGGUUUGAUCCGCUGUGCCACCAGGUGCACCCCUCCCUCUAUUUUCCCAACUCACCUUAGUCUUCUAGAUCUUCAAUAACUAGACUUUGUUCUUCACUAAAAGAUACAAAAAAAAUGUUAGUACAUAACACCCAAAGACCCCUCCAGCCCAAAAAAAGGCCCAACCCACACCCAAAAAGUGAGAAGAAGUUCCCUCGAUUCCUGGGACUGCUGUCCCCAAAGUGCGUCCUCAUCACUUCCACUGGCCAGAGUGCUCUGUCAAGGAAAGAGAAGAGCAAAGUGAAAUCCUGACCUCCCCUUCCCCUUUGCAGGAAGACAGGGCGCCUGCAUUUCUCUACUUACCCAGGACUCAUCGGGUGGAAUGGGGCCCUUCCUCCUCGCAUCCCGGCCAGCAGAUGCCAUCCAUUGGUGCUGUGGAAGAAAGAGAAGAGACUUAGUUGAAAUCCUGGUCCCCUCCUCUUCACAGAAGUACAAUCCUCCUGCCUUCCCUCCUUACCCAGGUCUCCAUUUCCGUGAUUGCCUCAGAGGAGGAGGCCUCCAGAUCUUGCGUUGGAGGACUAGAGAAGAAGGAGAGAAAUCAGCCGAACAUUAGUAUCAGAACCCUGUGAAGCUAUUUAGAAGGGGAAAAAACCAUCCAGAAGAGAAGGAGGAAGGGCUUACCUUACGGGGUAUAUUUUGAUACACCUCCUCCCCGACAACAUUUCCAACAAUUUAUACAUAAUUUCCUGAUGUUCUGCAAAGGAGAACGGAGAACAAGAUCAGUAGGAAGGAGGAAGGGCCUCAUUCGAGAUGGAUUCUUCAUCACUGGGCACCCUGACCAGGGGAGGAGGUGGACACACGAUGGAGACAGCAGUCCCAGGAAGAGGAUGGAUCUGAAAAGGGAGAGUUAAAGAUAAAGGUUUCCCCUGACAUUAAGACUAGUCAUGUCCGAAUCUGUGGGUUAGAGCUCAUCUCCAUUUCUAAGCCUCAGAGCCGGCAUUGUCCGUAGAUACCUACUAGGCCAUGUGGCCAGCAUGACUCCAUGGAGCGCUGUUACCUUCCUGCCAGAGCGGUACAUAGUGAUCUACUCACAUUUGCAUGUUUUUGAAUUGUUAGGUUGGCAGAAGCUGGGGCUAACAGCGGGAGCUCACCCCACUGCCUGGAUUCAAACCACUGACCUUCUGGUCGGUACGUUCAGCAGCUCAGUGGUUUGAUCCGCUGUGCCACCAGGUGCACCCCUCCCUCUAUUUUCCCAACUCACCUUAGUCUUCUAGAUCUUCAAUAACUAGACUUUGUUCUUCACUAAAAGAAACAAAAAAAAUAUGUUAGUACAUAACACCCAAAGACCCCCCUAGCCCAAAAAAAGGCCCAACCCACACCCAAAAAGUGAGAAGAAGUUCCCUCGAUUCCUGGGACUGCUGUCCCCAAAGUGCGUCCUCAUCACUUCCACUGGCCAGAGUGCUCUGUCAAGGAAAGAGAAGAGCAAAGUGAAAUCCUGACCUCCCCUUCCCCUUUGCAGGAAGACAGGGCGCCUGCAUUUCUCUCCUUACCCAGGACUCAUCGGGUGGAAUGGGGCCCUUCCUCCACGCAUCCCCGCUGGGCUGCGGAGCAGAUGCCAUCCAUUGGUGCUGUGGAAGAAAGAGAAGAGACUUAGUUGAAAUCCUGGUCCCCUCCUCUUCACAGAAGUACAAUCCUCCUGCCUUCCCUCCUUACCCAGGUCUCUAUUUCCGUGAUCUCAUCGGAGGAGGAGGCUUCUAGAUCUUCCGUUGGAGGACUAGAGAAGAAGGAGAGAAAACAGCCAAACAUUAGUAUCAGAACCCUGUGCAGCUAUUUAGAAGGGGAAAAAACCAUCCAGAAGAGAAGGAGGAAGGGCUUACCUUACGGGGUAUAUUUUGAUACACCUCCUCCCCGACAACAUUUCCAACAAUUUAUACAUAAUUUCCUGAUGUUCUGCAAAGGAGAAAGGAGAACAAGGUCAGAGGGAAGGAGGAAGGGCCUCAUUCGAGAUGGAUUCUUCAUCACUGGGCACCCUGACCAGGGGAGGAGGUGGACACACGAUGGAGACAGCAGUCCCAGGAAGAGGAUGGAUCUGAAAAGGGAGAGUUAAAGAUAAAGGUUUCCCCUGACAUUAAGUCUAGUCAUGUCCGAAUCUGUGGGUUAGUGCUCAUCUCCAUUUCGCUCCUUACCCAGGACUCAUCGGGUGGAAUGGGGGCCUUCCUCCUCGCAUCCCAGCCAGCAGAUGCCAUCCAUUGGUGCUGUGGAAGAAAGAGAAGAGACUUAGUUGAAAUCCUGGUCCCCUCCUCUUCACAGAAGUACAAUCCUCCUGCCUUCCCUCCUUACCCAGGUCUCCAUUUCCGUGAUCGCCUCGGAGGAGGAGGCCUCCAGAUCUUGCGUUGGAGGACUAGAGAAGAAGGAGAGAAAUCAGCCGAACAUUAGUAUCAGAACCCUGUGAAGCUAUUUAGAAGGGGAAAAAAACAACCAGAAAAGAAGGAGGAAGGGCUUACCUUAUGGGGUGUAUUUUGAUACACCUCCUCCCCGACAUUAUUUCCAAAAAUUUAUACCUAAUUUCCUGAUGUUCUGCAAAGGAGAAAGGAGAACAAGGUCAGAGGGAAGGAGGAAGGGCCUCAUUUGAGAUGGAUUCUUCAUCACUGGGCACCUUGACCAGGGGAGGAAGUGGACACACGAUGGAGACAGCAGUCCCAGGAAGAGGAUGGAUCUGAAAAGGGAGAGUUAAAGAUAAAGGUUUCCCCUGACAUUAAGUCUAGUCAUGUCCGAAUCUGUGGGUUAGAGCUCAUCUCCAUUUCUAAGCCUCAGAGCCGGCAUUGUCCGUAGAUACCUACUAGGCCAUGUGGCCGGCAUGACUCCAUGGAGCGCUGUUACCUUCCUGCCAGAGCGGUACAUAGUGAUCUACUCACAUUUGCAUGUUUUUGAAUUGUUAGGUUGGCAGAAGCUGGGGCUAACAGCGGGAGCUCACCCCACUGCCUGGAUUCAAACCACUGACCUUCUGGUCGGUACGUUCAGCAGCUCAGUGGUUUGAUCCGCUGUGCCACCAGGUGCACCCCUCCCUCUAUUUUCCCAACUCACCUUAGUCUUCUAGAUCUUCAAUAACUAGACUUUGUUCUUCACUAAAAGAUACAAAAAAAAUGUUAGUACAUAACACCCAAAGACCCCUCCAGCCCAAAAAAAGGCCCAACCCACACCCAAAAAGUGAGAAGAAGUUCCCUCGAUUCCUGGGACUGCUGUCCCCAAAGUGCGUCCUCAUCACUUCCACUGGCCAGAGUGCUCUGUCAAGGAAAGAGAAGAGCAAAGUGAAAUCCUGACCUCCCCUUCCCCUUUGCAGGAAGACAGGGCGCCUGCAUUUCUCUACUUACCCAGGACUCAUCGGGUGGAAUGGGGCCCUUCCUCCUCGCAUCCCGGCCAGCAGAUGCCAUCCAUUGGUGCUGUGGAAGAAAGAGAAGAGACUUAGUUGAAAUCCUGGUCCCCUCCUCUUCACAGAAGUACAAUCCUCCUGCCUUCCCUCCUUACCCAGGUCUCCAUUUCCGUGAUUGCCUCAGAGGAGGAGGCCUCCAGAUCUUGCGUUGGAGGACUAGAGAAGAAGGAGAGAAAUCAGCCGAACAUUAGUAUCAGAACCCUGUGAAGCUAUUUAGAAGGGGAAAAAACCAUCCAGAAGAGAAGGAGGAAGGGCUUACCUUACGGGGUAUAUUUUGAUACACCUCCUCCCCGACAACAUUUCCAACAAUUUAUACAUAAUUUCCUGAUGUUCUGCAAAGGAGAACGGAGAACAAGAUCAGUAGGAAGGAGGAAGGGCCUCAUUCGAGAUGGAUUCUUCAUCACUGGGCACCCUGACCAGGGGAGGAGGUGGACACACGAUGGAGACAGCAGUCCCAGGAAGAGGAUGGAUCUGAAAAGGGAGAGUUAAAGAUAAAGGUUUCCCCUGACAUUAAGACUAGUCAUGUCCGAAUCUGUGGGUUAGAGCUCAUCUCCAUUUCUAAGCCUCAGAGCCGGCAUUGUCCGUAGAUACCUACUAGGCCAUGUGGCCAGCAUGACUCCAUGGAGCGCUGUUACCUUCCUGCCAGAGCGGUACAUAGUGAUCUACUCACAUUUGCAUGUUUUUGAAUUGUUAGGUUGGCAGAAGCUGGGGCUAACAGCGGGAGCUCACCCCACUGCCUGGAUUCAAACCACUGACCUUCUGGUCGGUACGUUCAGCAGCUCAGUGGUUUGAUCCGCUGUGCCACCAGGUGCACCCCUCCCUCUAUUUUCCCAACUCACCUUAGUCUUCUAGAUCUUCAAUAACUAGACUUUGUUCUUCACUAAAAGAAACAAAAAAAAUAUGUUAGUACAUAACACCCAAAGACCCCCCUAGCCCAAAAAAAGGCCCAACCCACACCCAAAAAGUGAGAAGAAGUUCCCUCGAUUCCUGGGACUGCUGUCCCCAAAGUGCGUCCUCAUCACUUCCACUGGCCAGAGUGCUCUGUCAAGGAAAGAGAAGAGCAAAGUGAAAUCCUGACCUCCCCUUCCCCUUUGCAGGAAGACAGGGCGCCUGCAUUUCUCUCCUUACCCAGGACUCAUCGGGUGGAAUGGGGCCCUUCCUCCACGCAUCCCAGCUGGGCUGCGGAGCAGAUGCCAUCCAUUGGUGCUGUGGAAGAAAGAGAAGAGACUUAGUUGAAAUCCUGGUCCCCUCCUCUUCACAGAAGUACAAUCCUCCUGCCUUCCCUCCUUACCCAGGUCUCUAUUUCUGUGAUCUCAUCGGAGGAGGAGGCUUCUAGAUCUUCCGUUGGAGGACUAGAGAAGAAGGAGAGAAAACAGCCAAACAUUAGUAUCAGAACCCUGUGCAGCUAUUUAGAAGGGGAAAAAACCAUCCAGAAGAGAAGGAGGAAGGGCUUGCUUUACGGGGUAUAUUUUGAUACACCUCCUCCCCGACAACAUUUCCAACAAUUUAUACAUAAUUUCCUGAUGUUCUGCAAAGGAGAAAGAACAAGGUGAGAGGGAGGAAGAAGGAGUUGCCUUGAGAGAGGGGCUGUUUUAGGGCCAUUACUUUCCUGUGGUAGAUUCAACCCCAAAAGUCUCCAAAUCUGUAUUUCCAUGGGCCCUUCCUCCCCACUCAGUACUUCUUUAAGAGGGGAGAAGAGCAGCAUCCCUGACUUCCCCUCCUGGUGAUCUAAUACAUGACUUCCCUUUUACUACCUACUCCUCUCAUGACAGCAAGUGAAACAAUUUACACAUAAUUUUCUGAUGUUCUGCAAAGGAGAAAGGAGAACAAGGUCAGAGGGAAGGAGGAAGGGCCUCAUUUCAUAUGGAUUCUUCAUCACUGAGCACCCUGACCAGGGGAGGAGGCGGACGCACGAUGGAGACAGCAGUCCCAAGAAGAGGAUGGAUCUGAAAAGGGAUAGUUAAAGAUAAAGGUUUCCCCUGACAUUAAGUCUAGUCAUGUCCGAAUCUGUAGGUUAGUGCUCAUCUCCAUUUCGCUCCUUACCCAGGACUCCUCAGGUGGAAUGGGGCCCUUCCUCCUCGCAUCCCGGCCAGCAGAUGCCAUCCAUUGGUGCUGUGGAAGAAAGAGAAGAGACUUAGUUGAAAUCCUGGUCCCCUACUCUUCACAGAAGUACAAUCCUUCUGCCUUCCCUCCUUACCCAGGUCUCCAUUUCCGUGAUCGCCUCAGAGGAGGAGGCCUCCAGAUCUUGCGUUGGAGGACUAGAGAAGAAGGAGAGAAAUCAGCCGAACAUUAGUAUCAGAACCCUGUGAAGCUAUUUAGAAGGGGAAAAAAACAACCAGAAAAGAAGGAGGAUGGGCUUACCUUAUGGGGUAUAUUUUGAUACACCUCCUCCCCAACAUCAUUUCCAAAAAUUUAUACCUAAUUUCCUGAUGUUCUGCAAAGGAGAAAGGAGAACAAGGUCAGUGGGAAGGAGGAAGGGCCUCAUUCGAGAUGGAUUCUUCAUCACUGGGCACCCUGACCAGGGGAGGAGGUGGACACACGAUGGAGACAGCAGUCCCAGGAAGAGGAUGGAUCUGAAAAGGGAGAGUUAAAGAUAAAGGUUUCCCCUGACAUUAAGUCUAGUCAUGUCCGAAUCUGUGGAUUAGUGCUCAUCUCCAUUUCGCUCCUUACCCAGGACUCAUCAUGUGGAAUAGGGCCCUUCCUCCUCGCAUCCCGGCCAGCAGAUGCCAUCCAUUGGUGCUGUGGAAGAAAGAGAAGAGACUUAGUUGAAAUCCUGGUCCCCUCCUCUUCACAGAAGUACAAUCCUCCUGACUUCCCUCCUUACCCAGGUCUCCAUUUCCGUGAUCGCCUCAGAGGAGGAGGCCUCCAGAUCUUGCGUUGGAGGACUAGAGAAGAAGGAGAGAAAUCAGCCGAACAUUAGUAUCAGAACCCUGUGAAGCUAUUUAGAAGGGGAAAAAAACAACCAGAAAAGAAGGAGGAAGGGCUUACCUUAUGGGGUAUAUUUUGAUACACCUCCUCCCCAACAUCAUUUCCAAAAAUUUAUACCUAAUUUCCUGAUGUUCUGCAAAGGAGAAAGGAGAACAAGGUCAGUGGGAAGGAGGAAGGGCCUCAUUCGAGAUGGAUUCUUCAUCACCGGGCACCCUGACCAGGGGAGGAGGUGGACACACGAUGGAGACAGCAGUCCCAGGAAGAGGAUGGAUCUGAAAAGGGAGAGUUAAAGAUAAAGGUUUCCCCUGACAUUAAGACUAGUCAUGUCCGAAUCUGUGGGUUAGAGCUCAUCUCCAUUUCUAAGCCUCAGAGCUGGCAUUGUCCGUAGAUACCUACUAGGCCAUGUGGCUGGCAUGACUCCAUGUAGCGCUGUUACUUUCCUGCCAGAGCGGUACAUAUUGAUCUACUCACAUUUGCAUGUUUUUGAAUUGUUAGGUUGGCAGAAGCUGGGGCGAACAGCAGGAGCUCACCCCACUGCCUGGAUUCAAACCACUGACCUUCUGGUCGGUACGUUCAGCAGCUCAGUGGUUUGAUCCGCUGUGCCACCAGGUGCACCCCUCCCUCUAUUUUCCCAACUCACCUUAUUCUUCUAGAUCUUCAAUAACUAGACUUUGUUCUUCACUAAAAGAAACAAAAAAAAUAUGUUAGUACAUAACACCCAAAGACCCCCCCUAGCCCAAAAAAAGGCCCAACCCACACCCAAAAAGUGAGAAGAAGUUCCCUCGAUUCCUGGGACUGCUGUCCCCAAAGUGCGUCCUCAUCACUUCCACUGGCCAGAGUGCUCUGUCAAGGAAAGAGAAGAGCAAAGUGAAAUCCUGACCUCCCCUUCCCCUUUGCAGGAAGACAGGGCGCCUGCAUUUCUCUCCUUACCCAGGACUCAUCGGGUGGAAUGGGGCCCUUCCUCCACGCAUCCCAGCUGGGCUGCGGAGCAGAUGCCAUCCAUUGGUGCUGUGGAAGAAAGAGAAGAGAUUUAGUUGAAAUCCUGGUCCCCUCCUCUUCACAGAAGUACAAUCCUCCUGCCUUCCCUCCUUACCCAGGUCUCCAUUUCCGUGAUCACCUCAGAGGAGGAGACCUCCAGAUCUUGCGUUGGAGGACUAGAGAAGAAGGAGAGAAAUCAGCCGAACAUUAGUAUCAGAACCCUGUGAAGCUAUUUAGAAGGGGAAAAAACCAUCCAGAAGAGAAGGAGGAAGGGCUUACCUUACGGGGUAUAUUUUGAUACACCUCCUCCCCGACAACAUUUCCAACAAUUUAUACAUAAUUUCCUGAUGUUCUGCAAAGGAGAACGGAGAACAAGAUCAGUAGGAAGGAGGAAGGGCCUCAUUCGAGAUGGAUUCUUCAUCACUGGGCACCCUGACCAGGGGAGGAGGUGGACACACGAUGGAGACAGCAGUCCCAGGAAGAGGAUGGAUCUGAAAAGGGAGAGUUAAAGAUAAAGGUUUCCCCUGACAUUAAGACUAGUCAUGUCCGAAUCUGUGGGUUAGAGCUCAUCUCCAUUUCUAAGCCUCAGAGCCGGCAUUGUCCGUAGAUACCUACUAGGCCAUGUGGCCAGCAUGACUCCAUGGAGCGCUGUUACCUUCCUGCCAGAGCGGUACAUAGUGAUCUACUCACAUUUGCAUGUUUUUGAAUUGUUAGGUUGGCAGAAGCUGGGGCUAACAGCGGGAGCUCACCCCACUGCCUGGAUUCAAACCACUGACCUUCUGGUCGGUACGUUCAGCAGCUCAGUGGUUUGAUCCGCUGUGCCACCAGGUGCACCCCUCCCUCUAUUUUCCCAACUCACCUUAGUCUUCUAGAUCUUCAAUAACUAGACUUUGUUCUUCACUAAAAGAAACAAAAAAAAUAUGUUAGUACAUAACACCCAAAGACCCCCCUAGCCCAAAAAAAGGCCCAACCCACACCCAAAAAGUGAGAAGAAGUUCCCUCGAUUCCUGGGACUGCUGUCCCCAAAGUGCGUCCUCAUCACUUCCACUGGCCAGAGUGCUCUGUCAAGGAAAGAGAAGAGCAAAGUGAAAUCCUGACCUCCCCUUCCCCUUUGCAGGAAGACAGGGCGCCUGCAUUUCUCUCCUUACCCAGGACUCAUCGGGUGGAAUGGGGCCCUUCCUCCACGCAUCCCCGCUGGGCUGCGGAGCAGAUGCCAUCCAUUGGUGCUGUGGAAGAAAGAGAAGAGACUUAGUUGAAAUCCUGGUCCCCUCCUCUUCACAGAAGUACAAUCCUCCUGCCUUCCCUCCUUACCCAGGUCUCUAUUUCUGUGAUCUCAUCGGAGGAGGAGGCUUCUAGAUCUUCCGUUGGAGGACUAGAGAAGAAGGAGAGAAAACAGCCAAACAUUAGUAUCAGAACCCUGUGCAGCUAUUUAGAAGGGGAAAAAACCAUCCAGAAGAGAAGGAGGAAGGGCUUGCUUUACGGGGUAUAUUUUGAUACACCUCCUCCCCGACAACAUUUCCAACAAUUUAUACAUAAUUUCCUGAUGUUCUGCAAAGGAGAAAGAACAAGGUGAGAGGGAGGAAGAAGGAGUUGCCUUGAGAGAGGGGCUGUUUUAGGGCCAUUACUUUCCUGUGGUAGAUUCAACCCCAAAAGUCUCCAAAUCUGUAUUUCCAUGGGCCCUUCCUCCCCACUCAGUACUUCUUUAAGAGGGGAGAAGAGCAGCAUCCCUGACUUCCCCUCCUGGUGAUCUAAUACAUGACUUCCCUUUUACUACCUACUCCUCUCAUGACAGCAAGUGAAACAAUUUACACAUAAUUUUCUGAUGUUCUGCAAAGGAGAAAGGAGAACAAGGUCAGAGGGAAGGAGGAAGGGCCUCAUUUCAUAUGGAUUCUUCAUCACUGAGCACCCUGACCAGGGGAGGAGGCGGACGCACGAUGGAGACAGCAGUCCCAAGAAGAGGAUGGAUCUGAAAAGGGAUAGUUAAAGAUAAAGGUUUCCCCUGACAUUAAGUCUAGUCAUGUCCGAAUCUGUAGGUUAGUGCUCAUCUCCAUUUCGCUCCUUACCCAGGACUCCUCAGGUGGAAUGGGGCCCUUCCUCCUCGCAUCCCGGCCAGCAGAUGCCAUCCAUUGGUGCUGUGGAAGAAAGAGAAGAGACUUAGUUGAAAUCCUGGUCCCCUACUCUUCACAGAAGUACAAUCCUUCUGCCUUCCCUCCUUACCCAGGUCUCCAUUUCCGUGAUCGCCUCAGAGGAGGAGGCCUCCAGAUCUUGCGUUGGAGGACUAGAGAAGAAGGAGAGAAAUCAGCCGAACAUUAGUAUCAGAACCCUGUGAAGCUAUUUAGAAGGGGAAAAAAACAACCAGAAAAGAAGGAGGAUGGGCUUACCUUAUGGGGUAUAUUUUGAUACACCUCCUCCCCAACAUCAUUUCCAAAAAUUUAUACCUAAUUUCCUGAUGUUCUGCAAAGGAGAAAGGAGAACAAGGUCAGUGGGAAGGAGGAAGGGCCUCAUUCGAGAUGGAUUCUUCAUCACUGGGCACCCUGACCAGGGGAGGAGGUGGACACAUGAUGGAGACAGCAGUCCCAGGAAGAGGAUGGAUCUGAAAAGGGAGAGUUAAAGAUAAAGGUUUCCCCUGACAUUAAGUCUAGUCAUGUCCGAAUCUGUGGAUUAGUGCUCAUCCCCAUUUCGCUCCUUACCCAGGACUCAUCAUGUGGAAUAGGGCCCUUCCUCCUCGCAUCCCGGCCAGCAGAUGCCAUCCAUUGGUGCUGUGGAAGAAAGAGAAGAGACUUAGUUGAAAUCCUGGUCCCCUCCUCUUCACAGAAGUACAAUCCUCCUGACUUCCCUCCUUACCCAGGUCUCCAUUUCCGUGAUCGCCUCAGAGGAGGAGGCCUCCAGAUCUUGCGUUGGAGGACUAGAGAAGAAGGAGAGAAAUCAGCCGAACAUUAGUAUCAGAACCCUGUGAAGCUAUUUAGAAGGGGAAAAAAACAACCAGAAAAGAAGGAGGAAGGGCUUACCUUAUGGGGUAUAUUUUGAUACACCUCCUCCCCAACAUCAUUUCCAAAAAUUUAUACCUAAUUUCCUGAUGUUCUGCAAAGGAGAAAGGAGAACAAGGUCAGUGGGAAGGAGGAAGGGCCUCAUUCGAGAUGGAUUCUUCAUCACCGGGCACCCUGACCAGGGGAGGAGGUGGACACACGAUGGAGACAGCAGUCCCAGGAAGAGGAUGGAUCUGAAAAGGGAGAGUUAAAGAUAAAGGUUUCCCCUGACAUUAAGACUAGUCAUGUCCGAAUCUGUGGGUUAGAGCUCAUCUCCAUUUCUAAGCCUCAGAGCUGGCAUUGUCCGUAGAUACCUACUAGGCCAUGUGGCUGGCAUGACUCCAUGUAGCGCUGUUACUUUCCUGCCAGAGCGGUACAUAUUGAUCUACUCACAUUUGCAUGUUUUUGAAUUGUUAGGUUGGCAGAAGCUGGGGCGAACAGCAGGAGCUCACCCCACUGCCUGGAUUCAAACCACUGACCUUCUGGUCGGUACGUUCAGCAGCUCAGUGGUUUGAUCCGCUGUGCCACCAGGUGCACCCCUCCCUCUAUUUUCCCAACUCACCUUAUUCUUCUAGAUCUUCAAUAACUAGACUUUGUUCUUCACUAAAAGAAACAAAAAAAAUAUGUUAGUACAUAACACCCAAAGACCCCCCCUAGCCCAAAAAAAGGCCCAACCCACACCCAAAAAGUGAGAAGAAGUUCCCUCGAUUCCUGGGACUGCUGUCCCCAAAGUGCGUCCUCAUCACUUCCACUGGCCAGAGUGCUCUGUCAAGGAAAGAGAAGAGCAAAGUGAAAUCCUGACCUCCCCUUCCCCUUUGCAGGAAGACAGGGCGCCUGCAUUUCUCUACUUACCCAGGACUCAUCGGGUGGAAUGGGGCCCUUCCUCCUCGCAUCCCGGCCAGCAGAUGCCAUCCAUUGGUGCUGUGGAAGAAAGAGAAGAGACUUAGUUGAAAUCCUGGUCCCCUCCUCUUCACAGAAGUACAAUCCUCCUGCCUUCCCUCCUUACCCAGGUCUCCAUUUCCGUGAUCUCAUCGGAGGAGGAGGCUUCUAGAUCUUCCGUUGGAGGACUAGAGAAGAAGGAGAGAAAACAGCCAAACAUUAGUAUCAGAACCCUGUGCAGCUAUUUAGAAGGGGAAAAAACCAUCCAGAAGAGAAGGAGGAAGGGCUUACCUUACGGGGUAUAUUUUGAUACACCUCCUCCCCGACAACAUUUCCAACAAUUUAUACAUAAUUUCCUGAUGUUCUGCAAAGGAGAAAGGAGAACAAGGUCAGAGGGAAGGAGGAAGGGCUUCAUUUGAGAUGGAUUCUUCAUCACUGGGCACCCUGACCAGGGGAGGAGGUGGACGCACGAUGGAGACAGCAGUCCCAGGAAGAGAAUGGAUCUGAAAAGGGAGAGUUAAAGAUAAAGGUUUCCCCUGACAUUAAGUCUAGUCAUGUCCGAAUCUGUGGGUUAGAGCUCAUCUCCAUUUCUAAGCCUCAGAGCCGGCAUUGUCCGUAGAUACCUACUAGGCCAUGUGGCCGGCAUGACUCCAUGGAGCGCUGUUACCUUCCUGCCAGAGCGGUACAUAGUGAUCUACUCACAUUUGCAUGUUUUUGAAUUGUUAGGUUGGCAGAAGCUGGGGCUAACAGCGGGAGCUCACCCCACUGCCUGGAUUCAAACCACUGACCUUCUGGUCGGUACGUUCAGCAGCUCAGUGGUUUGAUCCGCUGUGCCACCAGGUGCACCCCUCCCUCUAUUUUCCCAACUCACCUUAGUCUUCUAGAUCUUCAAUAACUAGACUUUGUUCUUCACUAAAAGAAACAAAAAAAAUAUGUUAGUACAUAACACCCAAAGACCCCCCUAGCCCAAAAAAAGGCCCAACCCACACCCAAAAAGUGAGAAGAAGUUCCCUCGAUUCCUGGGACUGCUGUCCCCAAAGUGCGUCCUCAUCACUUCCACUGGCCAGAGUGCUCUGUCAAGGAAAGAGAAGAGCGAAGUGAAAUCCUGACCUCCCCUUCCCCUUUGCAGGAAGACAGGGCGCCUGCAUUUCUCUCCUUACCCAGGACUCAUCGGGUGGAAUGGGGCCCUUCCUCCACGCAUCCCAGCUGGGCUGCGGAGCAGAUGCCAUCCAUUGGUGCUGUGGAAGAAAGAGAAGAGACUUAGUUGAAAUCCUGGUCCCCUCCUCUUCACAGAAGUACAAUCCUCCUGCCUUCCCUCCUUACCCAGGUCUCUAUUUCUGUGAUCUCAUCGGAGGAGGAGGCUUCUAGAUCUUCCGUUGGAGGACUAGAGAAGAAGGAGAGAAAACAGCCAAACAUUAGUAUCAGAACCCUGUGCAGCUAUUUAGAAGGGGAAAAAACCAUCCAGAAGAGAAGGAGGAAGGGCUUGCUUUACGGGGUAUAUUUUGAUACACCUCCUCCCCGACAACAUUUCCAACAAUUUAUACAUAAUUUCCUGAUGUUCUGCAAAGGAGAAAGAACAAGGUGAGAGGGAGGAAGAAGGAGUUGCCUUGAGAGAGGGGCUGUUUUAGGGCCAUUACUUUCCUGUGGUAGAUUCAACCCCAAAAGUCUCCAAAUCUGUAUUUCCAUGGGCCCUUCCUCCCCACUCAGUACUUCUUUAAGAGGGGAGAAGAGCAGCAUCCCUGACUUCCCCUCCUGGUGAUCUAAUACAUGACUUCCCUUUUACUACCUACUCCUCUCAUGACAGCAAGUGAAACAAUUUACACAUAAUUUUCUGAUGUUCUGCAAAGGAGAAAGGAGAACAAGGUCAGAGGGAAGGAGGAAGGGCCUCAUUUCAUAUGGAUUCUUCAUCACUGAGCACCCUGACCAGGGGAGGAGGCGGAUGCACGAUGGAGACAGCAGUCCCAAGAAGAGGAUGGAUCUGAAAAGGGAUAGUUAAAGAUAAAGGUUUCCCCUGACAUUAAGUCUAGUCAUGUCCGAAUCUGUAGGUUAGUGCUCAUCUCCAUUUCGCUCCUUACCCAGGACUCCUCAGGUGGAAUGGGGCCCUUCCUCCUCGCAUCCCGGCCAGCAGAUGCCAUCCAUUGGUGCUGUGGAAGAAAGAGAAGAGACUUAGUUGAAAUCCUGGUCCCCUACUCUUCACAGAAGUACAAUCCUUCUGCCUUCCCUCCUUACCCAGGUCUCCAUUUCCGUGAUCGCCUCAGAGGAGGAGGCCUCCAGAUCUUGCGUUGGAGGACUAGAGAAGAAGGAGAGAAAUCAGCCGAACAUUAGUAUCAGAACCCUGUGAAGCUAUUUAGAAGGGGAAAAAAACAACCAGAAAAGAAGGAGGAUGGGCUUACCUUAUGGGGUAUAUUUUGAUACACCUCCUCCCCAACAUCAUUUCCAAAAAUUUAUACCUAAUUUCCUGAUGUUCUGCAAAGGAGAAAGGAGAACAAGGUCAGUGGGAAGGAGGAAGGGCCUCAUUCGAGAUGGAUUCUUCAUCACUGGGCACCCUGACCAGGGGAGGAGGUGGACACACGAUGGAGACAGCAGUCCCAGGAAGAGGAUGGAUCUGAAAAGGGAGAGUUAAAGAUAAAGGUUUCCCCUGACAUUAAGUCUAGUCAUGUCCGAAUCUGUGGAUUAGUGCUCAUCUCCAUUUCGCUCCUUACCCAGGACUCAUCAUGUGGAAUAGGGCCCUUCCUCCUCGCAUCCCGGCCAGCAGAUGCCAUCCAUUGGUGCUGUGGAAGAAAGAGAAGAGACUUAGUUGAAAUCCUGGUCCCCUCCUCUUCACAGAAGUACAAUCCUCCUGACUUCCCUCCUUACCCAGGUCUCCAUUUCCGUGAUCGCCUCAGAGGAGGAGGCCUCCAGAUCUUGCGUUGGAGGACUAGAGAAGAAGGAGAGAAAUCAGCCGAACAUUAGUAUCAGAACCCUGUGAAGCUAUUUAGAAGGGGAAAAAAACAACCAGAAAAGAAGGAGGAAGGGCUUACCUUAUGGGGUAUAUUUUGAUACACCUCCUCCCCAACAUCAUUUCCAAAAAUUUAUACCUAAUUUCCUGAUGUUCUGCAAAGGAGAAAGGAGAACAAGGUCAGUGGGAAGGAGGAAGGGCCUCAUUCGAGAUGGAUUCUUCAUCACCGGGCACCCUGACCAGGGGAGGAGGUGGACACACGAUGGAGACAGCAGUCCCAGGAAGAGGAUGGAUCUGAAAAGGGAGAGUUAAAGAUAAAGGUUUCCCCUGACAUUAAGACUAGUCAUGUCCGAAUCUGUGGGUUAGAGCUCAUCUCCAUUUCUAAGCCUCAGAGCUGGCAUUGUCCGUAGAUACCUACUAGGCCAUGUGGCUGGCAUGACUCCAUGUAGCGCUGUUACUUUCCUGCCAGAGCGGUACAUAUUGAUCUACUCACAUUUGCAUGUUUUUGAAUUGUUAGGUUGGCAGAAGCUGGGGCGAACAGCAGGAGCUCACCCCACUGCCUGGAUUCAAACCACUGACCUUCUGGUCGGUACGUUCAGCAGCUCAGUGGUUUGAUCCGCUGUGCCACCAGGUGCACCCCUCCCUCUAUUUUCCCAACUCACCUUAUUCUUCUAGAUCUUCAAUAACUAGACUUUGUUCUUCACUAAAAGAAACAAAAAAAAUAUGUUAGUACAUAACACCCAAAGACCCCCCCUAGCCCAAAAAAAGGCCCAACCCACACCCAAAAAGUGAGAAGAAGUUCCCUCGAUUCCUGGGACUGCUGUCCCCAAAGUGCGUCCUCAUCACUUCCACUGGCCAGAGUGCUCUGUCAAGGAAAGAGAAGAGCAAAGUGAAAUCCUGACCUCCCCUUCCCCUUUGCAGGAAGACAGGGCGCCUGCAUUUCUCUACUUACCCAGGACUCAUCGGGUGGAAUGGGGCCCUUCCUCCUCGCAUCCCGGCCAGCAGAUGCCAUCCAUUGGUGCUGUGGAAGAAAGAGAAGAGACUUAGUUGAAAUCCUGGUCCCCUCCUCUUCACAGAAGUACAAUCCUCCUGCCUUCCCUCCUUACCCAGGUCUCCAUUUCCGUGAUCUCAUCGGAGGAGGAGGCUUCUAGAUCUUCCGUUGGAGGACUAGAGAAGAAGGAGAGAAAACAGCCAAACAUUAGUAUCAGAACCCUGUGCAGCUAUUUAGAAGGGGAAAAAACCAUCCAGAAGAGAAGGAGGAAGGGCUUACCUUACGGGGUAUAUUUUGAUACACCUCCUCCCCGACAACAUUUCCAACAAUUUAUACAUAAUUUCCUGAUGUUCUGCAAAGGAGAAAGGAGAACAAGGUCAGAGGGAAGGAGGAAGGGCUUCAUUUGAGAUGGAUUCUUCAUCACUGGGCACCCUGACCAGGGGAGGAGGUGGACGCACGAUGGAGACAGCAGUCCCAGGAAGAGAAUGGAUCUGAAAAGGGAGAGUUAAAGAUAAAGGUUUCCCCUGACAUUAAGUCUAGUCAUGUCCGAAUCUGUGGGUUAGAGCUCAUCUCCAUUUCUAAGCCUCAGAGCCGGCAUUGUCCGUAGAUACCUACUAGGCCAUGUGGCCGGCAUGACUCCAUGGAGCGCUGUUACCUUCCUGCCAGAGCGGUACAUAGUGAUCUACUCACAUUUGCAUGUUUUUGAAUUGUUAGGUUGGCAGAAGCUGGGGCUAACAGCGGGAGCUCACCCCACUGCCUGGAUUCAAACCACUGACCUUCUGGUCGGUACGUUCAGCAGCUCAGUGGUUUGAUCCGCUGUGCCACCAGGUGCACCCCUCCCUCUAUUUUCCCAACUCACCUUAGUCUUCUAGAUCUUCAAUAACUAGACUUUGUUCUUCACUAAAAGAAACAAAAAAAAAUGUUAGUACAUAACACCCAAAGACCCCUCCAGCCCAAAAAAAGGCCCAACCCACACCCAAAAAGUGAGAAGAAGUUCCCUCGAUUCCUGGGACUGCUGUCCCCAAAGUGCGUCCUCAUCACUUCCACUGGCCAGAGUGCUCUGUCAAGGAAAGAGAAGAGCAAAGUGAAAUCCUGACCUCCCCUUCCCCUUUGCAGGAAGACAGGGCGCCUGCAUUUCUCUCCUUACCCAGGACUCAUCGGGUGGAAUGGGGCCCUUCCUCCUCGCAUCCCGGCCAGCAGAUGCCAUCCAUUGGUGCUGUGGAAGAAAGAGAAGAGACUUAGUUGAAAUCCUGGUCCCCUCCUCUUCACAGAAGUACAAUCCUCCUGCCUUCCCUCCUUACCCAGGUCUCCAUUUCCGUGAUCGCCUCGGAGGAGGAGGCCUCCAGAUCUUGCGUUGGAGGACUAGAGAAGAAGGAGAGAAAUCAGCCGAACAUUAGUAUCAGAACCCUGUGAAGCUAUUUAGAAGGGGAAAAAACCAUCCAGAAGAGAAGGAGGAAGGGCUUACCUUACGGGGUAUAUUUUGAUACACCUCCUCCCCGACAACAUUUCCAACAAUUUAUACAUAAUUUCCUGAUGUUCUGCAAAGGAGAAAGGAGAACAAGGUCAGUAGGAAGGAGGAAGGGCCUCAUUCGAGAUGGAUUCUUCAUCACUGGGCACCCUGACCAGGGGAGGAGGUGGACACACGAUGGAGACAGCAGUCCCAGGAAGAGGAUGGAUCUGAAAAGGGAGAGUUAAAGAUAAAGGUUUCCCCUGACAUUAAGUCUAGUCAUGUCCGAAUCUGUGGAUUAGUGCUCAUCUCCAUUUCGCUCCUUACCCAGGACUCAUCAUGUGGAAUAGGGCCCUUCCUCCUCGCAUCCCGGCCAGCAGAUGCCAUCCAUUGGUGCUGUGGAAGAAAGAGAAGAGACUUAGUUGAAAUCCUGGUCCCCUCCUCUUCACAGAAGUACAAUCCUCCUGCCUUCCCUCCUUACCCAGGUCUCCAUUUCCAUGAUCGCCUCAGAGGAGGAGGCCUCCAGAUCUUGCGUUGGAGGACUAGAGAAGAAGGAGAGAAAUCAGCCGAACAUUAGUAUCAGAACCCUGUGAAGCUAUUUAGAAGGGGAAAAAAACAACCAGAAAAGAAGGAGGAAGGGCUUACCUUAUAGGGUAUAUUUUGAUACACCUCCUCCCCAACAUCAUUUCCAAAAAUUUAUACCUAAUUUCCUGAUGUUCUGCAAAGGAGAAAGGAGAACAAGGUCAGUGGGAAGGAGGAAGGGCCUCAUUCGAGAUGGAUUCUUCAUCACUGGGCACCCUGACCAGGGGAGGAGGUGGACACACGAUGGAGACAGCAGUCCCAGGAAGAGGAUGGAUAUGAAAAGGGAGAGUUAAAGAUAAAGGUUUCCCCUGACAUUAAGUCUAGUCAUGUCCGAAUCUGUGGAUUAGUGCUCAUCUCCAUUUCGCUCCUUACCCAGGACUCAUCAUGUGGAAUAGGGCCCUUCCUCCUCGCAUCCCGGCCAGCAGAUGCCAUCCAUUGGUGCUGUGGAAGAAAGAGAAGAGACUUAGUUGAAAUCCUGGUCCCCUCCUCUUCACAGAAGUACAAUCCUGCCUUCCCUCCUUACCCAGGUCUCCAUUUCUGUGAUCGCCUCGGAGGAGGAGGCCUCCAGAUCUUGCGUUGCAGGACUAGAGAAGAAGGAGAGAAAUCAGCCGAACAUUAGUAUCAGAACCCUGUGAAGCUAUUUAGAAGGGGAAAAAAACAACCAGAAAAGAAGGAGGAAGGGCUUACCUUAUGGGGUGUAUUUUGAUACACCUCCUCCCCGACAUUAUUUCCAAAAAUUUAUACCUAAUUUCCUGAUGUUCUGCAAAGGAGAAAGGAGAACAAGGUCAGAGGGAAGGAGGAAGGGCCUCAUUUGAGAUGGAUUCUUCAUCACUGGGCACCUUGACCAGGGGAGGAAGUGGACACACGAUGGAGACUGCAGUCCCAGGAAGAGGAUGGAUCUGAAAAGGGAGAGUUAAAGAUAAAGGUUUCCCCUGACAUUAA